rnacentral:rRNA from 1 species
GAUGAACGCUGGCGGCGUGCCUAAUACAUGCAAGUCGAGCGAACAGACGAGGAGCUUGCUCCUCUGAUGUUAGCGGCGGACGGGUGAGUAACACGUGGAUAACCUACCUAUAAGACUGGGAUAACUUCGGGAAACCGGAGCUAAUACCGGAUAACAUGUUGAACCGCAUGGUUCAACAGUGAAAGACGGUCUUUCUGUCACUUAUAGAUGGAUCCGCGCCGCAUUAGCUAGUUGGUAAGGUAACGGCUUACCAAGGCAACGAUGCGUAGCCGACCUGAGAGGGUGAUCGGCCACACUGGAACUGAGACACGGUCCAGACUCCUACGGGAGGCAGCAGUAGGGAAUCUUCCGCAAUGGGCGAAAGCCUGACGGAGCAACGCCGCGUGAGUGAAGAAGGUCUUCGGAUCGUAAAACUCUGUUAUUAGGGAAGAACAAAUGUGUAAGUAACUAUGCACGUCUUGACGGUACCUAAUCAGAAAGCCACGGCUAACUACGUG